UACGGAGGGGGCUAGCGUUGUUCGGAAUUACUGGGCGUAAAGCGCACGUAGGCGGCUUUGUAAGUUAGAGGUGAAAGCCCGGGGCUCAACUCCGGAAUUGCCUUUAAGACUGCAUCGCUAGAAUUGUGGAGAGGUAAGUGGAAUUCCGAGUGUAGAGGUGAAAUUCGUAGAUAUUCGGAAGAACACCGGAGGCGAAGGCGGCUUGCUGGACCUGGUCUGGACGCUGAGGCGCGAAAGUGUGGGGAGCGAACAGG
rnacentral:rRNA from 1 species